rnacentral:lncRNA from 10 species
ACUGCAACCUCCGCCUCCCAGUUUCAAGCAAUUCUCCUGCCUCAGCCUCCUGAGUAGCUGGAAUUACAGGCAUGCACCACCACACCUGGCUAAUUUUGUAUUUUUACUACAGACGGGGUUUCUCCAUGUUGAGGCUGGUCUCGAACUCCUGACCUCAGGUGAUCUGCCUGCCUCAGCCUCCCAAAGUGCUGGGAUUACAGGCGUGAACCACCGCGCCCGGCCUAGGAUUUCCUCCUUUGACGAUGAAUAGUUCUCCACUGUGCUGGAAUGCAGUGUGCAAUCUCAGCUCACUGCAACCUCUGCCACCCGGGUUCAAGCAAUUCUUGGGCUUCAGCCUCCCAAGCAGCUGGGACUACAAGCACAAGCUACCAUGCCCAG